rnacentral:rRNA from 1 species
UACGUAGGGUGCAAGCGUUGUCCGGAAUUAUUGGGCGUAAAGAGCUCGUAGGCGGUUUGUUGCGUCGGCUGUGAAAUCCCGAGGCUCAACCUCGGGUCUGCAGUCGAUACGAGCAAACUAGAGUGUUGCAGGGGAGACUGGAAUUCCUGGUGUAGCGGUAAAAUGCGCAGAUAUCAGGAGGAACACCGGUGGCGAAGGCGGGUCUCUGGGCAACAACUGACGCUGAGGAGCGAAAGCGUGGGGAGCGAACAGG